GAGUGAGUGAAUGACUGAGUGAGUGAAUGAGUGAGUGAGUAAAUGAGUGAAUGAGUGAAUGAGUGAGUGAGUGAGUAAAUGAGUGAAUGAGUGAAUGAAUGAGUGAGUGAGUGAAUGAGUGAAUGAGUGAGUGACUGAAUGAGUGAGUGAAUGAAUGAGUGAGUGAGUUAAUGAAUGAGUGAGUGAGUGAAUGAGUGAGUGAGUGAAUGAGUGAGUGAGUGAGUGAAUGAGUGAAUGAGUGAGUGAAUGAGUGAAUGAAUGAGUGAGUGAGUGAAUGAGUGAGUGAAUGAAUGAGUGAGUGAUGAGUGAGUGAAUGAGUGAAUGAGCAAGUGAAUGAGUGAUGAGUGAGUGAAUGAGUGAGUGAGUGAAUGAGUGAGUGAUGAGUGAGUGAAUGAGUGAGUGAAUGAAUGAGUGAGUGAGUGAAUGAAUGAGUGAGUGAGUGAAUGAAUCAGUGAAUGAAUGAGUGAGUGAAUAAGUGAGUGAAUGAGUGAGUGAGUGAAUGAGUAAGUGAGUGAAUGAGUGAAUGAGUGAGUGAAUGAGUGAGUGAGUGAAUGAGUGAGUGAAUGAGUGAGUGAAUGAAUGAAUGAGUGAGUGAGUGAGUGAGUGAAUGAGUGAGUGAGUGAGUGAAUGAGUGAAUGAGUGAGUGAAUGAGUGAGUGAGUGAAUGAGUGAGUGAAU